UACGAAGGGGCUAGCGUUGCUCGGAAUCACUGGGCGUAAAGGGUGCGUAGGCGGGUCUUUAAGUCAGGGUGAAAUCCUGGAGCUCAACUCCAGAACUGCCUUGAUACUGAAGAUCUUGAGUUCGGGAGAGGUGAGUGGAACUGCGAGUGUAGAGGUGAAAUUCGUAGAUAUUCGCAAGGAACACCGGUGGCGAAGGCGGCUCACUGGCCCGAGUACUGACGCUGAGGCACGAA
rnacentral:rRNA from 1 species